UCGACAUACCUUGUUCACUGAAUUUAAUCAUUUCUACCAACUACCUUUAGAUGCAAUCAUAAACGAAGGGAGAAGUAAUGAAUAAUUCAUGCCAAAAAUUGUGAACAAAAGAGGAGUGGGAGAGUGGCUGGGCCAAAUGCAGAUUCGUGCACGUUUUCUCUGGUGCCUGACCAGAGAACAUGUAAUGUUAUCCCUCUGCCCGGCUACCACACAGGUCCACAAGUAUUAUUAUCAGAGUACAUAUAAAAUAUGCAAUAAAUUCCAGACAACAAGUUUGCACUAACUUAUAUUAAGUUAGCAAUAGAAAUAGGCAUUAAAAACACAAUAAAAGGUAAGAUACACACAGAGUACACUUAUUACUUACCUUAAAAUACAGUGGACCCCUGGUUAACAAUAUUUUUUCAUUCCAGAAGUAUGUUCAGGUGCCAGUACUGACCGAAUUUGUUCCCAUAAGGAAUAUUGUGAAGUAGAUUAGUCCAUUUCAGACCCCCAAACAUACACAUACAAACGCACUUACAUAAAUACACUUACAUAAUUGGUAGCAUUGGGAGGUGAUUGUUAAGCGGGGGUCCACUGUAUUAAUAUUAAUGUGUGAGAGCUAAGCUUAGACGCCAUCGUCAAUGAGAGCCAACUAGUUAACGAAAGAGUAAACGAGAGAGAGAACGAAAUACAGACAAUGUAAGAACACAAACUGAACAGGUAAUGGGCGAUCACGUUGUCGGGGAAAUAAAUGCGUUAAUAUGUGUCUGCUUUUAGUUCAUUCACGUACGUUUGUAAGAGUUUGUAAAACUUUUACCUCACAAUUUUUUUUUAUUAUAAUAAUAAUUACCUCACAAUACAAAUACUCUUACAUUGUGUACAAGUUGUACAAGUUAGUACAGAAUAAACAAACAGCAACACUCCCAUUCUCAUGCAACACACCAUUUUUAGAGUGAAUGAAGAUGAUGAUAUUAUUAUUAUAUCAUCAUCAUAAAAAAGCGCUAAAUCCACAAGGGUCGUGAAUUGCUAUAUAUAGAGUGAAGGCAUACGAAAGGAAUAUUUUUCUAUAGUUAUCCCCCAGUGUUUGACUAGAGAAAACGUAAUUCUUUCGACACUACCCACACAGCCGCUUUGUAAACAGAUCUCAUAUUUACAUCAAUUUUUAUUCUGUGAGUGUAUGUACCAUGUUUAUAUGCUAUGUAACGUGUUUCUUAUAUAAUUUUGAGGAAAAUAUCAUAGAUGGAUUAAUGAAAAUGUCUAUAUUAAUGUAAAAUAAGACACUUAAUGUGCCUAAGAGUGAUGAUUAUUAUGUACUAUUGGCAUCAUAAGUAGAGAGAGACUUAGCAGUUUUAAUGUGUACCUGCACACCAGCACAGUGUGUAAGUACAUUUAGGUACAGGUACACAUAAGUAUAAUUAUCAGAGUACAUAUAAAAUACACAAUAACUGUUACUCACUUGAAAUUUUGGAAAGCUUCCAGACAUAAUAGAUGUGGUCAUGGAGAAUGUAAACAAACCAGGUGGGGCACGCCAUAUUUGAAAGACCGCUUGCCGUAUGGCAAAUUUUGGUCAUAAUUUGACAUCGCCGUAUUAGUGGAACGCUGUAAGGCGAAAUGCCGUAAAGCGGGGCCCUAUUGUAUAAAUAUUUAAAAAUAUACCAGAAAUGCUAUAAAAGGUUCACCAGGUGCCAGAUCAACCAGGCUUUGAUGGAUAUGUGGGGCAGCAGGCCUCCAGCAGCAACAGCCUGGUUGACCAGGCAAGCACCAGACCGGCCUGGCCCAUGGCUGGGCUCAGAGGGUAGAUAAACUCUCGAAACUCUUCAAAAGUAUAUCAAAGGUAAUGGUGCAAAGGUGACAUUAAAACAGUAUCAAAGAUGGGUGACAAACCCACUACCAUUAUAGUAUGCUCCUUACUUACCGACUAAUUUGUUUACCGAUGAGGUCUUAGGAACGGAACUCUGUUGUUAAGUGAGGAGAGGCUGUACAGUAGGACUCCUGUAUCCAUGGGUUUGGCAUCUGCUGUUUCACUUAUCCACGGUUUACCGUGGCCCAAAAAUAACUUAAUUUUGAUUAAUAAUAGCCUCAGAGUUCAAAAGUAGUGAUGCUGGCAGUUCUUCAGAGCCUAAGAGAAGCUGUGAAAUGCUUCCCAUGUGAAAAAGUGAUAAUUCUAGACUUAUUUUGCAUAAUUUAUCAAUUAAACUUUAUCACAGGUAUAUUUUUUUUAAAACAUCAGCCAUUUCUCACAAAGGUAGGGUGACCCAAAAGAAAGAAAAACCAAAAAAAGAAGGAAAAAACUUUCAUUAUCAGUCAACACUUUCACCAGCACUCAUACAUAAUCACUGGCUUUGCAGAGGUGCCCAGAUAUGACAGUUUAGAUAGUCACUCCAAACUGCCAAUAUCCCAAAACCCUCCCUCCUUUAAAGUGCAGGCAUUGUACUUCCCAUUUCCAGGACUCAAGUCUGGAUAACCAGUUUCCCUGAAUCCCUUCACAAAAUAUUACCCUGCUCACACUGCAACAGAUCAUCAGGUCCCAAAAACCAUUAGUCUCCAUUCACUCCUGUCUAACACACUCACGCACGCUUGCUGGAAAUGCAAGCCUCUCACCCACAACGCCUCCUUUACCUUCUCCCUUCAGCCUUUUUGAGGAUGACCCCUACCCCGCCUUCAUACCCCUACAGAUUUACAUGUAAACAAAAAUGAUUUAUAUAUAGGGUUUGCUACUACAGUGGAACCUCAAAUAUCGAACUGCUCCCAACUCAACCAAUUAUGUAAGUGUGUUUUUGUAAGUGCUUUUAUAAGUGUAUUUUUGAGGGUCUGAAAUUAACUAAUCUAAUUUACAUUAUUCCUCAUGGGAAUAAAUUCGUUCACUAAUGGCACUCGAACAGCCGUCUGGAACGAAGAAAGUUCGAUAUUUAAGGUUCCACUGUAUUCACAGUUUCAGUUAUUUACGGUAAUUCUUGGAACAUAUCCCCCGCAGUUACCGGGGAGCUACUGUACAAUACCUAAACUUUAAAAGUUGGUGAGUAGAUCACUAUUUUGGUGUGAUUGAUUCCAGAUUGGAAUCUCAAAGAUAGAUAGAUAUAGAUAUUUGGGAGGGCCCCACUUACAUGGCAAGUUAAGUUCCAGGCUAAUGCUGUAAAAAGAAUCACCUAUUUUUUCACUUUUAAACACAUAUAAAUGCCUGAUAACAUAUUUACAUUAUCAUAUACAGUAGGGCCCCACUUAUAUGGCAGGUUAGGUUCCAGGCUACUGUCAAUGGGUUUUCGAUAACAUGGAUGGGGUAAGAAUACUCACGUAGGCUGGUAGUACGUAUAAUAUAACGGAAAGUAUGGGAAGCGCCAACAGCCGACCUGCCUCUCUCUGCUCCCUAUCUUCGACUGACUCUCAAGUGCCUACGGGUGAGGGGUGUUUGAAAUCCUGCUAUGGUCAGCAGCAAUAUGAAUAAUCAGUCAGUGAUUCACGCAGACGGUUGGUAGUGAGUCAUCUACUGGUACACUGGUUACUGGUAACUGGUUACUAGGAACUGGUACUACUACUGAGACUACCGCCGUAAAGCGGAAAUUGCCGUAGAGUGGAACACCCCUUUUUUCCACUUAUAAAUGCAUAUAAAUACUAGCUAACAAAUUUAUACUAACGUAUAUUAAGUUAGCAAUAGAACUAAGCAUUAAAAACAAUAAAAAAGUAAAAUACACAUGUAGUACACUCAUUACUUACCUUAAAUUAUUUGUAGUCUUAAUCUAUGGUGAGACAAGUAGUAUUUAUUGUAAGAAAUCAAAUGCAGUAUGUAUGGUAGCCAGCCGGGCUACCAUACCAUGCCAGCUCAUCCACACAUAAUAUUCUAUAACAUUUAAGCAUCCCAGAGUGAUAAAAUGCAUAUAUGAUUCACUCAUUACUUACCUUAAAAUAUUUGUAGUCUUAAUGUAGGGUCAGAGGUGAGUAAAUGAGAUAAAUCAAAUAAAUGAGAGAGAGAGAGAGAGAGAGAGAGAGAGAGAAUGAGUACAUGAGGGAGGACAGGCGCAGAGUUAUGUAAACAAACCAGGCGAACGCAAGUUUUGUAAACAAACCAGGUGUACACAUCUGGUUUGUGUACAAGUUGUCUCUACAUUGAUAUGGUAGAAUAAAUAAAGAAAAACACUCCCAUUCUCAUGUAACACCAUUUUUAGAAGAAAUGACGCUCUGAGUGAAGGCAAUGGAAAUAAGUCACUCUGUCUGACUUUUUUGGGUUAUUCUAGGUUCUCUACACAUAUGCUGUUAUGUAUGAUAUUCUAUGUAACUGUAUUUAGGUAUACCUGACUAAACUUACUUGCUUACAUUCGAAAGGAAUAAUUUUCUACAGUUACCCCCAGUAACACAUUUUCUCUGAUGUUGGACUAGAGAAAAUGUUUUUCUUGCCGUCACUCAUAGAAGUCUGGCUCCCACAUCUCGUAUUUAUGUUUAUUCUACUGUGGAGUGUAUUUAUCUUCUUUAUAUGUUAUGUAUCAUGUUUAUUAUAUAAUUUUGAAAAAAUAUCAUUGAUUAAUGAAAAUAUGUAUAUUAACGUAAUAUACGACAUUUAACCCUUUGAGGGUCGACAGGCCCUCUCCGAAACUCGUUCUCAGGGUCGGCCAAAUUUAAAAAAAAAAAAAAUUAUUUUCUCUUAUGAAAAGAUAGAGAAUCUUUUCCCGA